rnacentral:rRNA from 1 species
UACGAAGGGUGCAAACGUUGCUCGGAAUCAUUGGGCGUAAAGCGCACGUAGGCGGCCUCGCAAGUCUGAUGUGAAAUCCCUCGGCUCAACCGAGGACGUGCAUCGGAAACUGCGGGGCUUGAGUACUGAAGAGGAUCGCGGAAUUCCCGGUGUAGAGGUGAAAUUCGUAGAUAUCGGGAGGAACACCAGUGGCGAAGGCGGCGAUCUGGGCAGAUACUGACGCUGAGGUGCGAAAGCGUGGGGAGCAAACAGG